UACGUAGGUGACAAGCGUUGUCCGGAUUUACUGGGCGUAAAGAGCGCGCAGGCGGUCGUUCAAGUCGAGUGUGAAAGCCCCCGGCUCAACUGGGGAGGGUCAUUCGAUACUGAUCGACUCGAAGGCAGGAGAGGGAAGUGGAAUUCCCGGUGUAGUGGUGAAAUGCGCAGAUAUCAGGAGGAACACCGGUGGCGAAGGCGGUUCUCUGGGCAUUACCUGACGCUGAGGAGCGAAAGCGUGGGGAGCAAACAGG
rnacentral:rRNA from 1 species